UUGCAGAAUGAAAGAAUAAAUUAUUGAAGAUCCUUUAACUCUAAAAAUCUCUACCAAUCCAUGAUGCAUUUUAAGAAAAAAGUGUUCUGUUAGAAUAGGGUGAAGAAAAGCUGAUAUUUGUGAGUAGGAUGCAAGGGAACCAUAGACAUAGAGACCUGCAAAUCAUCUGUGGCCUUGUUUUAUCUUAUUCUCUGGAAUAUACUGGGAAUAGUAAGGAGGCAUGUGUGCCUGAGCAGAAUGAUUAAGGGGAAAAUAUUAGGAAUUGAGGUCAAAGAGUUAAUGAGGUGGGGGUAAGAUCAUAUAUAGCCUUGUAGGACAGUUAAGAAAUCCCGAGUGACCUGAUCAGAGCAGACAAAGUGAUCCUUUUAAAACCUACAAGGAAAAUAGAUGGGGGCUGAGCAAGAGUGGAAGUAGAGAGACCUAUCUUGAUUGAUUUACUGAAGUGAUCAAGAUGAGAAGCAUGGUUCCUUGGACGAAAGUGAGAAGUGGUUGGAUUUUGGAUGUAUUUUGAAAGUAGAGCCAAGAGGACCAAUUAGAUAUGGGGUGAGAGCGAGAGAGAGGAGUGAAAGUUGAAACCAGUAUUUUUGGCUUGUGCACUUAAAAGGAAGGAAUUACCAUUAGUUGAGAUGGGAAAAUGUACAUAGAUGAAGCAGAUUUUGAGAGGGAAGAUAAAGAGUUAACUUUUGGACAAUGUAAGGCCUGAGAUUAGUAUUAGACAUCCAACAGGAUAAUAUUUGAUAGGCAAUAUGCUUGCAGCUCUUGAUUAAGUCAGAAAUAUGAUUCUAGAGGUUAGCAGAGAGAUGCAGUUAUGGUUAACAUAGCAUAGAGAUGAUAGUAAAAGCCAGGAGGUGGAAUGAUAUCACCAAAUUACUGAGUACAAACAGAAGAGGUUCAAAGAUUGAGGCUUGGGGUGUUCCAACUAACAGGUCCGGGAUAACUAAGGAAGUCUGUAAAAGUGACUAAGAAUGAAUUAACAGUGAGAGGGGAGGAGAACCAAGGAGUAUGAUGUCUGAAACCAAGUGAAGAAAGAAUAUCAAAGGAGGAGGUAUGGCCACAUAUCAAUGCUAUUAAUAUGUCAAAUGUGCUGGAGACUGAAAAUCAAUUGUAGGUUUUAGCAAUACUUAAGACAUCUAUGACUUUGAAAUAAGGUUUGGUGGCAUGUUGGGGGUAAAAGUCUGACUCAAAAUUGUUUAAGGGAAGCUUAGUAGGGAGUAAUUGAAAUCAGCAAUUACACAUGGGGCUUUCAGGGAAUUUUGUUACAAAGGAAAACAAUGAACCAACUGGAAGAGGAGGUGGGGUCCAGAAAAGCUUUUCAAAAAAAUUUUAAGACUAUAUAUAUAUCUGUAUAUAUAUUAUACAGAUAUAUAUAAACACAUAUAUGUAUAUACACACAUAUUAAUAUGUAUAUAUGAU
rnacentral:lncRNA from 10 species